ACAUUAUCUGACCCUGCACCAUUUAAUCCUGUAGAAGUUCCACUGAUGUUAGCAGCAUGAGAGCAGGCUCUGGCUGAGUUAUCUGAAAGUAAACUCCUCACAGGGAUUGCUCUUGCUGUGAUCUUGCACACCAGCAGCACAGGCAGGUUGCAUUUCACUUUUUUGCUUCUCAGUUAAUGCCCAGGGAAGGCUUCUUUCUUUCCCAAGUAGGGACUGAUUUUUGUCUAGUUCAAGGAAGCUUGCCAAAGCUCACCAUGGAUUGUCAGCUUAAAAUAUAUUUUGGUUUGAAAAAGACCCUCCACCACACCUAUGCUGGCCAUGAUUCUCCUUGCAGGCAGUGCUCCCUUUCCCACUCUCAGUCAGGACAGGCAUGAGUCCGGAGGUGGAGAGCUCUCCAAGAGGGAUACAUCAGCUCAGCGUGUUUCACUUAGGGGAAAAUGGGACCGGAGCUCCCCCCAUAUAAUAGAGAUAUCAAGUUAUAUUAGACAAAGGGAAUGUGAAUUAUCAUGUGAAUUAUUGUGCAGCAGGACAUAAACCAAACACCAACUUCCUAGAGUUAGAAAAAGCUUACUCAGGAGGAAACUUUCCUUAACUUUGAAAGCUGAGUCCCAAUUCAGGAAACGAAGCAAGUCACAUCAUCCUUCAAUCUCACCAUGUGAUGGUAAAAAACGUAUACCUCUCUAUUAAUACAUGUUCCAGGCUGCACAUAACUAUUUGGCAUUUCAUAUAUGAAAAAAUUACAAUUCAGAAGUGGACUGUGCCUUUAAAAAAAAAAUCUUUAUUUUGUUAUUUUCCUUCUUAUACUUUUCUUCCAAAUUUUAAGAUAAUCCCACACAGGAAAAUAAAAAAGAAAGUAAAAAUACAUACGGGAUUAGGAAAGAAAAUUAAAAGCAAUGUUUUGGACUAGAUCAGCUAGUUCAUUGCUGAAAUGUGCUUCCCACUAUGUUAUUCAGAUCAAAUUGUUUAUUCGGUAGAAGAAGCUUUGAAGGCUUUAUGUCCCUGCACCUUUUCUCUCCUGAAUGAUUUUAUUACAGCCAUCUGCAAACAUUAUGGCUUACUACACUAGUACCGUAAAGCUCUCAUGUUAGAACUGGCCUUCAUAUAUACUGGGAUCUGGACAUAUGGUUGAAUCCCAUAAAGUUGGUAGUCCAUAAGGUCGACAGACAUAUGGUUGAAAGGCUCAAAAUUUGACAAGCUGAAAUCUGUGCAAUCACCUUGAUUUGCAAAAUAAACUGCAUUUGUAAAAGCAAAAAUAUGUUCUGGUCUUUAAGUAGCAGGGGAACCUACUGCCUAGAAAAAUACCAUACAGCUGCAGUGUAGGGACUUUUCUUCUUUGCUCUGUCCCUUUCAGUUUCUCAACUUUACAUCCAUCAAUUUUAUUGGACUCAGCCUUAUGAUCCAGAACGUGUAUACGGUGUCAUAUUUAAUACGCUAGAACUACAGCACAUCAUCAAGCUUGAGUGUGGCAUUUAGAGACAGGAAGGAUGGUCUUGUGGCAAAGGCACAGGCGCUGAGGCUGAGAGAACUGCACUUUUUCCUGCCUUGCCACAGACUUCCUUUGUGAAUUCCACCAAAUUGCUUCACCUUCUUUCACCUUUGCCCAUCUUUGAAAUAGAGGGAAAUGAUACCAGCCCACCUCUCUGGGUUGCUGUAAAUCUUAAUUCAUGCAGGCUGAAAUCCUGUGAUGGAACUUGCUGUAUAAAUUGUGAAGUAUUAUUAAUGACAUGCUUGCUUUUAUCCUCCACACAUCGCGCUAAAGUUAGAUAGAGGUGGUUGGAGCUGUGAAGACCUUGGCUGGGCUAGCUCCAUCACAGAUCCACAGCCUUCAGGAGGCAAAAUGCACUGGGACUUCAGCUAGUAGCUUAGCGUGCAUCUUAAGUGAAUUUCAAAUUAAUUUGAUAGUUUUGGAAAAAAGCUUGCAAUUGCAUCUAUAAUAUAGGUAUGAAAUUGCAGUCUGUUCAGUGGAAGGAACCAAAUUGGAAGUAUCAGCCUCUUCUGCAUUUGGGAUCAUUCUAAGUGUAGGCCCAGAUUUUUCAGUCAACUUUUUUAAACCUAAAAAAGAGAAAAAGCUUAUUUUCUGAGUGUGUUGCUGUUUUCUGACCAGCUGAUCAUGAUCUGUUGUUACUUCAUUAAAAACAUAUUUUUAGGAGGAACACUUCCUGUCUUUCCUGGAGAAGCACAAGUGCUGGAUGUUUUUUAUACUGAUGUCUUUCUUCCUGAGUGAAAAAAAAAAAAACUAUGUGCUUUUUUGGUUUUUGCUUUUUUUGAUAUUUGAACAAUUAGAUUUUUAUUUGUCACCACUCUUCAUGGUUCACAAACCCAUUGCAAACAAUACUAGAAUGAGGGUUGAGAGAUUCAGACAGAGGCCAUGCACUUGCUUUGCAGCCCCUAAAUAUUUACCCCAGAGAAAUCAUCUGGAGCAAAAAAUAACAUUGACAGAUGAGAUGCCGUAAUCAUGUGUUACACCAACUGCUGUAAAGGAGAAAACAGGAAUGUCACUGAAGUAUUGCAGUGAAGCUGUUUCCCUUCCAGGGCAAGAAGAAUGGGAUUUGGCCAGUUCUUUGUGUCAACCCAAGAACUUCUAGUAGGACCAUGUGGACGCAGAUCAGGGAGCUCUGCCAUUACCUCUGUACUCCAUACCUGCCACAGCUUGAGUACAGUAGGAAAAGGGGCCCAGAUUUCACAAUCCAUAAUUUUUAAUUUAUGCAGCAUUACCAGUAUUCUGAAAUAGCUUCUAGCUUCAUGUGGAGAAGGAAAAUUCAUUGUGUUACUGCAAUGAGCAAAAUGCAUUGCUUCUGGCAUCUGAAUCUGAAAUUUAGUGUAAAGGCCACUGCUUGUUGCAGGACCAAAUUCUGCCAAGUUAAUUUUGGGAUAACAUUUAAUUUUAAGAGAAGUUAUAUUGUCCCUCUGAGAAUUUGAGCUUCACAAGAUUCUAUUUCUUUAAAACCAGCAAAUGCAGCACUGUAACUAGGGUGCAGAGCAUGGCAGGUAGCACAGGAAUUCAGUGCUCACAUUAUUUUCCUGGGAAGUCUUAUGAACUCAUCCUAACUUUGGACAGGUUAAAAUUAGUUGAGUGGAUACUGCAUGUGUCUAAUUUCAGAUCUAUCCACGCUGCUUAGCAGAAGGCUCAAGAAACUUUCCAUAUUAAAGAUGAAGAUGGUUCCCUUCAUGGUAAAGCAUUGGUACCAUCUGAUGAGCAAAAAAAAAUAUUUGUGUUGCAGAUAAGGAGGGCAAACAGUAGUGGGUAAGUGAGCAAGAAAGCAAACAAAAUGGAGCAUCUGGAAAUAAGAGAAAUAUCCUAGCUCCUGGGUAGCAAUUCAACCCCCCUUGGUCAUCAGUGCUGUGUUGGGCUGCUUCAGGAGUAAGGUGAAUUUGUUCUGCUGUCGUCAACACCCAUGUCUGCUACACACCAGCUUUAUUGUAGCUUCCCAAGGAAACUUGCAGUGUGCUUGCUCUGCAACAAAACCUGGAAACAGUUUUUCAGAAUCCUACCUAGAAAUUUUAAAUCCUUUCAUUGUUGUUCUAUAUUACAUCAUAUUCUAUUUUAUUACUUGUGUGGGCUGUCGAGGGCCUCAUAACUGUGCUAGUGCUUUCAUCCUUUCCUUUUCCACUGUAUAUUUUAUUAAGACCUCUUUUAUAUUUUUGUAGCUUUCAUGCUGAUGCAGGCACUAGUUUUAUUUCCAGAUUGAUUCUGUAAACUAAAUAUUGUUCUUGAGCCUGGUAGCAAAUCAGCUCUCUCUGGCUAGUAUUUUGAAUUCCCAGCUCAGGAGUUUUCUUUAUUUAGAGCUUGAUUCAUAAAAAAUUUACAUGCUAUUUAAAGAUUAUUUUUUCUUGCUUUACUCUGAUGCAAGUUUAGAAUUCCCUCUUUUACACUCAAAUAAAGAAAAAAAAAGGAUAUAUUCUAUGCUUGUGAAAUCUGUUCUGUAGAAAGGUCUUCUAUUGAAAAUGGAACAGGUGCAGCUUGGGCAAUUAUAUAUAAAUUGCAUUUAUCUGGCACCUUUGACCGCUUCGCUGUGCUCUGGCUGCUAAUCCAUCUCCACUGGGACUACAACUAACAUCCAAACCCCCAAGCAACUUCAAAAGAACUGCCUUCAAAAAAUAAAAACAAACUGUCACAGA